UACGUAGGGGGCAAGCGUUGUCCGGAAUCAUUGGGCGUAAAGCGCGUGUAGGCGGCUUGGUAAGUCUGCUCUGAAAGCCCGGGGCUCAACCCCGGGAGGCGGGUGGAUACUGUCAAGCUCGAGUCCGGAAGAGGAGUGUGGAAUUCCUGGUGUAGCGGUGAAAUGCGCAGAUAUCAGGAGGAACACCUAUGGCGAAGGCAGCUCGCUGGGACGUUACUGACGCUGAGACGCGAAAGCGUGGGGAGCAAACAGG
rnacentral:rRNA from 1 species